rnacentral:rRNA from 1 species
GGCGCACGGGUGAGUAACACGUAUGCAACCUACCCUGUACAGGGGGAUAACCCGGAGAAAUUCGGACUAAUAUCCCAUACAAUUAUUGGAGGGCAUCCUUUGAUAAUUAAAGCUCAGGCGGUAUAGGAUGGGCAUGCGGAACAUUAGCUAGUUGGUAGGGUAACGGCCUACCAAGGCUACGAUGUUUAGGGGACCUGAGAGGGUUAUCCCCCACACUGGUACUGAGACACGGACCAGACUCCUACGGGAGGCAGCAGUGAGGAAUAUUGGUCAAUGGGCGCAAGCCUGAACCAGCCAUCCCGCGUGAAGGAAGAAGGCCCUAUGGGUUGUAAACUUCUUUUCCAGGGGGUGAAUAAUUCCGAUGUAUCGGGAGAUGACGGUACCCUGGGAAUAAGCAUCGGCUAACUCCGUGCCAGCAGCCGCGGUAAUACGGAGGAUGCGAGCGUUAUCCGGAUUUAUUGGGUUUAAAGGGUGCGUAGGCGGAACAAUAAGUCAGUGGUGAAAGACUGCAGCUUAACUGUAGACUUGCCGUUGAUACUGUUGAUCUUGAGUAUGGUCAAGGCAGGCGGAAUGUGUAAUGUAGCGGUGAAAUGCUUAGAUAUUACACAGAACACCGAUUGCGAAGGCAGCUUGCUGGGCCAUUACUGACGCUGAUGCACGAAAGCGUGGGGAUCGAACAGGAUUAGAUACCCUGGUAGUCCACGC